CUUGUACUCUGGGCAGUGAUGUGCAAACACUCGUGAUCUGUUUUGACUGAGUACUGUCAUCUGGUUGGUUUCUUCCCUUCUUCAAAACACUUGGUUGGUUAUCAUCUUGAGCGUCACAGGAAGUCUUUUCAUUGGUAGUUGGUACAUUUUUGCAUAACCUUCCAGGAGAUUUCACAUGAGAAACUGAUUUCUUUACUCCUUUGGUGCUUGGGUGGCUUUUUCCAUUACUGUAAUUUACCGUUCCUUUGUGGUUUUCAUUGAUUUGGCUUUCCUUUUUCUGUGCCUUUCGGUGCAGUAAUAAAGGAUGUUCCUGAAUGCCCGGUCCCAUUAUUACUCUUUUAAAGUGGUAUCUACAUCUUUAUCUUUACAUAAUCUUCCAACGACUCCAUUCUUUCCGGUCCACACAGCACAGUGUGCCAAAUGCAAACAUCACCACGUCCUUGCUUUCAGCCUCCGCCG
rnacentral:lncRNA from 1 species